CUGUUUUAGUGGUGCUCAUUAGCUGGGAAAGGCAAACCUAACUGGAAUUCCUCUGUAGUCACCAUGAGAUCAGAUGGGUCACAUGAAGAUCUGAGGGAACAGCGUGGAGUUGCAUGGAGGUCAGGUUUGGGAUUACGAAAAGCUUCUUCACCAGAGGAGGUCAGGCAGUGGAACAAGUGCCUGAGUGCAAGGAGCAUCUGGACAAUGGUCUCAAACGUAGGGUUUGAAAUUUGGGUGGUCCUGUACAGAGCCAGGGGUUGGACUCGAUGAUCCAUGUUGGUCCCCUCCAACGCGGGACAUUCUGUGAUUCCAUUGUUUGUUACUGGUGCUUUUUAGCACAUCCAUCUAUUCAUGGCCUCUUUUGUCUAGGUGAGGCAGAGAAGAGCAGAGUUAUUAUUUAUUUAGACAGAGUAGCUGUCUAAGUAAAGACUAAAAUAUCAGACAGAGAAAA
rnacentral:lncRNA from 1 species